GGAUCAUGGCGACGCGGGCGGUCCGCUGCCCACGACAUCGUGAAAAGUCCACUAAACCUUAUAUUUAGAGGAAGGAGAAGUCGUAACAAGGCUUCCCUAGGUGGACCUGCGGAAGGAUCAUUG
rnacentral:rRNA from 1 species